ACUUCAAGUAAAUAAUUUUUUCAUUGCUUUUUGUGUGAAUUUAAUAACUUUGAAGUCUCUAGCUUAAGAAACUCGGAAUAACACCUUUGAACGGUCGUUAAACGAAAACACGAAUCGCGUUUUGUCGUCUGCUUAUGUCAUAGUUUUCAUUACAGGGUGCAACACUUGCUUCUAAAAUGGGCAACGACAAUAUUUUGAUUGUUCAAGGAAAAAUGGAAAUAAAAAAUUUGAGUUACACGUUACCUUUCAAACGUCCGUUGGUGAUCUGUGUGCCGAAAUCGAACGAGAAACAGAAAUUCCUGUUCACUGCCAAAGAAUUAUAUAUAAUGGUCGAGCUCUAAACAACCAUGCCGAAGACAUGAAUAAACAUUUAGGCACCCUAG